rnacentral:rRNA from 1 species
GCAAGUCGAACGGUAACGCGGAGCGCUUGCUCUCUGGCGACGAGUGGCGGACGGGAGAGUAACGCGUAGGAAUCUGCCUAGUAGUGGGGGAAAACCUGGGGAAACCUAAGCUAAUACCGCAUACGCCCUAAGGGGGAAAGCGGGGGAUCUUCGGACCUCGCGCUAUUAGAGGAGCCUGCGUCGGAUUAGCUAGUUGGUGGGGUAAAGGCCUACCAAGGCGACGAUCCGUAGCUGGUCUGAGAGGAUGAUC